AUACGGAAGGUCCGGGCGUUAUCCGGAUUUAUUGGGUUUAAAGGGAGCGCAGGCGGAGAUGCAAGCGUGACGUCAAAUUUCGGGGCUCAACCCCGUCUCGCGUCGCGAACUGCGUCCCUUGGUUGCGGGAAGGGGAGGCGGAACUCGUGGUGUAGCGGCGAAAUGCAUAGAUAUCACGAAGAACUCCGAUCGCGAAGGCAGCCUUCCGGCCCGUCAACGACGCUCAUGCUCGAAGGUGCGGGUAUCAAACAGGAUUAGAUACCCUGGUAGUCCGCACAGUAAACGAUGGACACCCGCGGUUUGGCCUGUAUGGCUGAGCCGCCAAGCGAAAGCGUUAAGUGUCCCACCUGGGGAGUACGCCGGCAACGGUGAAACUCAAAUGAAUUGACGGGG
rnacentral:rRNA from 1 species